AGCACAGAGGAGCUUGCUCCUUGGGUGGCGAGUGGCGGACGGGUGAGUAAUGCAUCGGGAUCUACCCUGACGUGGGGGAUAACCUCGGGAAACCGGGACUAAUACCGCAUACGUCCUACGGGAGAAAGCGGGGGACCUUCGGGCCUCGCGCGGCAGGACGAACCGAUGUGCGAUUAGCUAGUUGGCGGGGUAAUGGCCCACCAAGGCGACGAUCGCUAGCUGGUCUGAGAGGAUGAUCAGCCACACUGGGAAUGAGACACGGCCCAGACUCCUACGGGAGGCAGCAGUGGGGAAUAUUGGACAAUGGGCGCAAGCCUGAUCCAGCAAUGCCGCGUGUGUGAAGAAGGCCUUCGGGUUGUAAAGCACUUUUAUCAGGAGCGAAAUACCACGGGUUAAUACCCUAUGGGGCUGACGGUACCUGAGGAAUAAGCACCGGCUAACUUCGUGCCAGCAGCCGCGGUAAUACGAAGGGUGCAAGCGUUAAUCGGAAUUACUGGGCGUAAAGGGUGCGUAGGCGGUUACUUAAGUCUGUCGUGAAAUCCCCGGGCUCAACCUGGGAAUGGCGAUGGAUACUGGGUGGCUAGAGUGUGUCAAAGGAUGGUGGAAUUCCCGGUGUAGCGGUGAAAUGCGUAGAGAUCGGGAGGAACAUCAGUGGCGAAGGCGGCCAUCUGGGACAACACUGACGCUGAAGCACGAAAGCGUGGGGAGCAAACAGGAUUAGAUACCCUGGUAGUCCACGCCCUAAACGAUGCGAACUGGAUGUUGGUCUCAACUCGGAGAUCAGUGUCGAAGCUAACGCGUUAAGUUCG
rnacentral:rRNA from 1 species